GAAAUUAAAAUUGAGAAAUGUGUGUUGUCAUUGACACCUGUGUUUACGUAGCUGCGAUUGUAUUAUGUGUGCAUGUGACAUGAUCAUGGGUAUAAAAGAAAAUGAAGAUAACCCAGCAAGUGAAUUCAACAAAAUGAAACAUUUACUGCUUCUUAUAUUCUCAGCGUACAUCAUGUACAUGGCAGUUGCAGUUCCGGUGGAGAGACGUUAUUUGGUUGCUUCUCGAGGAAGUGGUAAUAUAACAUUUGUUCCACUUUAUGAAGCGUUGUUUGGCUCCAGGCCCUAUGUUCUCUUUGGCUGAUUACAUUCACUUUGCAUCUUACAAUAAUGAGAGAGUCAUCCUACAGCAGCUACAGUGAAUAAAAUGUUAAUAUAUGAACAUAAAUGACUUUAAGUUUAUUAAACAGUUCCUUGUGUUUCUACCUUUCACCACAUAAAUACAAACACCAGAAUCUGUACUGUACUCCUUUGAAGGUUAGUAUGGUCUGUAAGAAACAAGUUGUGUUAAGAUCCAUUAUUCUGCUGCUUAUUCAUCAUGGCCAAUAACACUGACAUUAACCUGCUAGUAAAUAACCUACCAGUCAGGAAACAUUGUGAGCUGGAUUCAAGACAAGUGUUCAUGAUUCUUGACAUGCAUCAUGAACUGAUUUCUUAAAACCAAGAGUUCAGUUCUCUCAAGAAAACAGAUUAGGAAUUGGUAUGAUUGCAAAUAUAACCAUAAUUAAUUUGAUGCAAAAUUCUUCUUGCUCAUUUAUCAUCAUGCAAGCAGAUGGGUGUGAAAAGUUGAUUUUAUAUGGUAAAAACCAGCAAGGUCAGUUCUUCAACAAUAAAUAAAUAUACUUUGCCUAUUACCUGUUGUUAGUGAACUGAGCUGGGCUCAUAACUGAUAAAAUGAUCAGUUGUACCAGAAUUUUGGGGAUAGCCACAGAUUAAUGUACAAGGUGUUUUAUGAGAAAAGUGCUCACUUGUAGAGCUGUUGUUUCCACCAAAAGAAAUUUAUAAUUCUGAUGACUUCCUUUCCUCGGAGUUUUCUUUUUUUCAUAUUGAUCUUGAUGUUCAUUAUUGCAGAGGCAAAUCUGACAAUUGUUGACAAAGGCAUGAAAUAUUUCUAUUUCAUUAAGUAUGUCAUACAAAAAUAUUGCAAAUAAAAGUUUAAGGCUUUACUGAGA